AAGUAAAACAGCAAAACCCCACGAGUUUGAGCUCGACGCCUCAACAACUUCGAGUUUGACUUGAACGUGAAAGAGCAUCACUAAGAAAUUUGGUCGAUCAAGCUAGACAGGGGGGCUAUAAGAUAAAAAUAGUGACUUGAAGACAAACCAUCCAUAAGAUUCGCGGUUGUAGUGACUUGAGGGUCAAGUUUGGCCUUUCUCACGAUAGCAUAUAACAUACCCAGAAGUGAGACUCAAUCCCAGAGGCAUGUCCUUUCCGCAGGAGAGUUCGAGAGGCCAUGACUGAGCUGGAUCUUUUUGUAGAGGUGAGGCUGAGUUUGGGUUAAAACGGCUUCAUCAAUGUGCUGAGAAGGAACAAGUUUAUCUAAAUGCAGAGGGCCCAUCAAAAGACUUCAAUGAGUUCUAGACAGCUUGCUGGGCUGACUAGGUUACUAGAAACACAUAUAUUGCUGGAACUGAACAUUGUGGGGAUAUUUGGUAUUAAGGUGUAGGACGUGAUCUGUUUUUUCAAAUAUUAAUCAUCAUUUGAGGGAUAAGCACCUUUUUAAUAUAAGCCCCUGGGAAGAAAGCCUUGAUGGAAUAAGAAAGGGAGAAGCACCUUCAUCAAUCCUAUCUUGCUUGUUAUUCUCCAAUUUCAGCAGUGAUUUACAAUAGAAAUAUGAACUUUUAAAAUUUAAUAACCUGUUUACUUUUGAUGAUAGUGUGACUUGAAACUACUUUGAGAAUUUGGUAUGAGCAUUGGAGAAUGGUUUGUCAAAUGUGGACUCCCAUGGUGCUACAAAUCUAGAGGUGGAAGAGGCAAAGGAACGGCCUCCCAAGCUCCCAGUCAACUGAAUGAUUCAAGUCAUUGGUUUUGUGACCAUUGCACAUAUGUCAAUGUUAAGUUUGCAAACACUUGCCAAAUGUA